UGCUUUUGUAACUGUUAACAUGUAAGCCGC
rnacentral:piRNA from 1 species